rnacentral:rRNA from 1 species
CCUACGGGUGGCAGCAGUGGGGAAUAUUGGGCAAUGGGCGCAAGCCUGACCCAGCAACGCCGCGUGAAGGAAGAAGGCUCUCGGGUUGUAAAACUCUUUUAUCAGGGACGAAGCAAGUGACGGUACCUGAUGAAUAAGCCACGGCUAACUACGUGCCAGCAGCCGCGGUAAUACGUAGGUGGCAAGCGUUAUCCGGAUGUACUGGGUGUAAAGGGCGUGUAGGCGGGAAUGCAAGUCAGAUGUGAAAACCAUGGGCUUAACCUGGGGCCUGGAGUUGACACUGUUUGUCUUGAGUACUGGAGAGGCAGGCGGAAUUCCUGGUGUAGCGGUGAAAUGCGUAGAUAUUAGGAGGAACACCAGUGGCGAAGGCGGUCUGCUGGACAGCAACUGACGCUGAGGCGCGAAAGCGUGGGGAGCAAACAGGAUUAGAUACCCCUGUAGUC